rnacentral:rRNA from 1 species
GACGAACGCUGGCGGCGUGCUUAACACAUGCAAGUCGAACGGAAAGGCCCUGCUUUUGUGGGGUGCUCGAGUGGCGAACGGGUGCGUAACACGUGAGUAACCUGCCCUUGACUUUGGGAUAACUUCAGGAAACUGGGGCUAAUACCGGAUAGGAGCUCCCGCUGCAUGGUGGGGGUUGGAAAGUUUCGGCGGUUGGGGAUGGACUCGCGGCUUAUCAGCUUGUUGGUGGGGUAGUGGCUUACCAAGGCUUUGACGGGUAGCCGGCCUGAGAGGGUGACCGGCCACAAUGGGACUGAGAUACGGCCCAGACUCCUACGGUAGGCAGCAGUGGGGAAUAUUGCACAAUGGGCGGAAGCCUGAUGCAGCAACGCCGCGUGCGGGAUGACGGCCUUCGGGUUGUAAACCGCUUUCGCCUGUGACGAAGCGUGAGUGACGGUAAUGGGUAAAGAAGCACCGGCUAACUACGUG